rnacentral:lncRNA from 1 species
CGGAGAUCGCGGCGGGGGGGGGGGUCACAACAUAAAAAUGCAAAGUGAGAAAGCAAAAUGCAUAGCCAAAGAAAACCCCCAACGCCCAGGGAAGCCUUGGCAGGAGGCCUGUGGGCGGCGGGGCUGCUCCAGGGCUGGCGUGGGACUCCAGGGGAUCAGGACAUCCCGGGAGGGAGCUCCGAGGGCUGCUCGGGAGGAAGAAGAAGGUGGCCUGGCGCGUCCACCCAAGAGGUUCCAAAUAAAAAGUGAACAGGAAGCAGAGAGAAGGGCUGGGCUUGGAAAUGCAUCGUGCACCAUCAUGCACAGCUGUGAGGCGCCUUCUUUUCAACCCCCCCCUGCCCAGCUGUUUUUCGCUAGCCCUGUUCAGAGACCAGGCUUUGAGGGAUGGUGGGCUGUGUCUGUCCGUGUGGAUAACAGGGGGAGGAAGAAUUCCAUACUGCCAUUUCUCUGUUGCAAAUCCCUCAGCUUUGUACCAAAUAUGGGAUCAAAAAACCUCAUUUCUCACUGGAUGUCUUAAUUCUGGCUUCAGCUUGUGCACAUAUUUGUGUUUAAACCAGGCUCACUGAUGCACUGAAAAGACCACACAGCAUGCUUGUAGUACCAAGAGAGAACCAGAAAUCCCUUCUAAAGUUAAGAAAUUUUAGUUCACUGGACUUGUACUAGUACUUAUUCAUUAAGAAAACCCAACUGGCAAAUAUUUGCAGACUACAAGCUGCAGUUUCAUAGUUUUGCAGAGUAGGCUUAUAUCUGUACAGUGGUGCCCCGCAAGACAAAUGCCUCGCAAGACGGAAAACUCGCUAGACGAAAGGGUUUUCCGUUUUUUGAGCUGCUUCGCAAGACAAAUUUCCCUAUGGGCUUGCUUCGCAAGAAGAAAAACGAAAACGUCUUGCAAAUUUGUUUCCUUUUUCUUAACACUGUUAAUACAGUUGUGACUUGACUUCGAGGAGCAACUCAUAGAACGCGGUGUGGUAGCCUUUUUUGAGGUUUUUGAAGAUUUGGUAUUUUUGAAGCUUUUCCAAAACGUCUUUUAAACUUUUAAAACUUUUUUUGGGGUUUUUGGAUUUUGGGUUGGGGUGUUUGGAAUUCAAGGACUUGGUGUUGGGGAGGCGUUUGCAAGAAUCUGGAAGCUUGUGUGGUUUUUUUCUGCAUUUUUAUGAUUUUCUGUGAC